UAUGUAUGGACUGGAUAAGUGCUGAAAUCUUCUAAGCAUGAAGCCCACCUCAAGAUGAGAUUUCCCAACUUCGGUUAUAAGAUCCCUCGAAGAUGACGAGGUUAAUAGGUUCGAGGUGGAAGCGUGGUGACACGUGGAGCUGACGAAUACUAAUCGAUCGAAGACUUAAUCAAUUUUUAAA
rnacentral:rRNA from 1 species